GUAGUGGGGGAUAACGUUGGGAAACGGACGCUAAUACCGCAUACGUCCUACGGGAGAAAGCAGGGGACCUUCGGGCCUUGCGCUAUCAGAUGAGCCUAGGUCGGAUUAGCUAGUUGGUGAGGUAAUGGCUCACCAAGGCGACGAUCCGUAACUGGUCUGAGAGGAUGAUCAGUCACACUGGAACUGAGACACGGUCCAGACUCCUACGGGAGGCAGCAGUGGGGAAUAUUGGACAAUGGGCGAAAGCCUGAUCCAAAAGGGCCGCGUGUGUGAAGAAGGUCUUGGGAUGUAAUUAAAGGAAAGUUGGGAGGAAGGGCAGUUACAGUAAUACGUGAUGUUUGACGU
rnacentral:rRNA from 1 species